AGCAGCCGCGGUAAUUCCAGCUCCAAUAGCGUAUAUUAAUUUUGUUGCGGUUAAAAGCUCGUAGUUGAAUUUCGGGAUCAAUAUAUCGGUCGUGCCUUGGUACGUACUGGUAUCAUUGGUUUCUCCUUUCUGACGAACCAUGAUGUCAUUAAUUUGGUGUUAUGGGAAGUUAGGACUGUUACUUUGAAAAAUUAGAGUGUUUAAAGCAGGCUUUGGCUUGAAUACAUUAGCAUGGAAUAAUGAAAUAGGACGUUCGAACCUAUUUUGUUGGUUUCUAGGAUCAACGUAAUGAUUAAUAGGGAUAGUUGGGGGCAUUAGUAUUCAA
rnacentral:rRNA from 1 species